UUUUAUUUGAGAGUUUGAUCCUGGCUCAGGAUGAACGCUGGCGGCGUGCCUAACACAUGCAAGUUGAGCGAUUUACUUCGGUAAAGAGCGGCGGACGGGUGAGUAACGCGUGGGUAACCUACCCUGUACACACGGAUAACAUACCGA
rnacentral:rRNA from 1 species